rnacentral:lncRNA from 1 species
UGUACACUAAAGAAUAGCUAAAUAAAAUUUCAGAGAUACGUGAGUGGUUAGCCAUCAGCCUCACCUCAGGAGUCCCUGAGAGCCUCAAGUUGGGAAAUGUGAGUCAGAGCAGGUGGCAUUUGCAGCCUUGCCUUCUCCCUCCCGGGGAUGAGUCACUGCUGCCCAAUGGGAUCAAGUACGGUGGCUACUGUUUUCUGGGUUCCUUGAUAAUCGAGGUCAGUCUUCUGCUAGGCCCUCGGUAGGAGUCCGGUGGAGGAGCCUGCUUUCCCCUCAUGCUGGAGGGUGAAAAAGAGAUGAGUUACUGAAAUAUGUACGUAAGAUUGAAAA